GCGCCGCUGACGAGUCCAGCAAUAGGACGAGACGGCCGUCCAGUGC
rfam:Schistosoma margrebowiei strain Zambia genome assembly, scaffold: SMRZ_contig0007766